UACGGGGGGGCAAGCGUUGUUCGGAAUUACUGGGCGUAAAGGGCUCGUAGGCGGCCAACUAAGUCAGACGUGAAAUCCCCAGGCUCAACCUGGAACUGCGUCUGAUACUGGAUGGCUUGAAUUCGGGAGAGGGAUGCAGAAUUCCAGGUGUAGCGGUGAAAUGCGUAGAUAUCUGGAGGAAUACCGGUGGCGAAGGCGGCAUCCUGGACCGACAUUGACGCUGAGGAGCGAAAGCUAGGGGAGCAAACGGGGAUUAAGAA
rnacentral:rRNA from 1 species